GAAGAACGCUGGCGGCGUGCCUAAUACAUGCAAGUCGAGCGAACAGACGAGGAGCUUGCUCCUCUGACGUUAGCGGCGGACGGGUGAGUAACACGUGGAUAACCUACCUAUAAGACUGGGAUAACUUCGGGAAACCGGAGCUAAUACCGGAUAAUAUAUUGAACCGCAUGGUUCAAUAGUGAAAGACGGUUUUGCUGUCACUUAUAGAUGGAUCCGCGCCGCAUUAGCUAGUUGGUAAGGUAACGGCUUACCAAGGCGACGAUGCGUAGCCGACCUGAGAGGGUGAUCGGCCACACUGGAACUGAGACACGGUCCAGACUCCUACGGGAGGCAGCAGUAGGGAAUCUUCCGCAAAGGGCGAAAGCUUGACGGAGCAACGCCGCGUGAGUGAUGAAGGUCUUCGGAUCGUAAAACUCUGUUAUUAGGGAAGAACAAAUGUGUAAGUAACUAUGCACGUCUUGACGGUACCUAAUCAGAAAGCCACGGCUAACUACGUG
rnacentral:rRNA from 1 species